GUCUCUUUGAAUUUUUUUAAUAAAGAGUUGGGCCUGCUCGGUGAUUAAUAUUUAACAGCUGCGGUAUUAUAACUGUACUAAGGUAGCAUAAUAAUUUGCCUUAUAAAUUGAGGCUAGAAUGAAUGGUUUGACGAAAAUUAUACUGUCUCUGUCUUAUUUAUUAGAAGUUAAUUUUUAUAGUGAGAAAGCUUGGAUGAUUUAAAGGGACGAAAAGACCCUAUUGAGCUUUAUAUUAUACUUUAAAUUUGAUUGUUGUAUUUAUUGAAAUAUAAUUUUGGUUGGGGUGAUCAAGGAAUAAAAAUAAUAUAUAUAUAUAUAUUAACUUCCUUAUUUGUUAUUUUUAUAAGAAAAUAAACCAAUAUUUUUGCUUAGAAGAUAAGUUACCAUAGGGAUAACAGCGUAAUUUUUUUUGAAAGUUCAUAUUGAAAAAAGAGAUUGCGACCUCGAUGUUGGAUUAAAAUAACCUUAAGGUGGAGAGGCUUUAGUAGGUGAAUCUGUUCGAUUUUUAAAAUUUU
rnacentral:rRNA from 1 species